rnacentral:rRNA from 1 species
UACGUAGGGUGCAAGCGUUAUCCGGAAUUAUUGGGCGUAAAGAGCUCGUAGGUGGUUUGUCGCGUUGUUCGUGAAAACUCACAGCUUAACUGUGGGCGUGCGGGCGAUACGGGCAGACUUGAGUACUGCAGGGGAGACUGGAAUUCCUGGUGUAGCGGUGGAAUGCGCAGAUAUCAGGAGGAACACCGGUGGCGAAGGCGGGUCUCUGGGCAACAACUGACGCUGAGGAGCGAAAGCGUGGGGAGCGAACAGG